CAGCAGCCGCGGUAAUACGAAGGGUGCAAGCGUUACUCGGAAUUACUGGGCGUAAAGCGUGCGUAGGUGGUGGUUUAAGUCCGUUGUGAAAGCCCUGGGCUCAACCUGGGAAUUGCAGUGGAUACUGGCUGGCUAGAGUGUGUCAGAGGAUGGUGGAAUUUCCGCGUGUAGCAGUGAAAUGCGUAGAUAUGCGGAGGAACACCGAUGGCGAAGGCAAUCCCCUGGACCUGUACUGACGCCCAUGCACGAAAGCGUGGGGAGCAAACAGGAUUAGAUACCCGAGUAGUCCCUGUCUCUUAUA
rnacentral:rRNA from 1 species